AUUAAGGAUCUAUUUAGAUCCACCAAUUUCUAAGAAACUGGCAUU
rfam:Zea mays cultivar B73 chromosome 2, whole genome shotgun sequence.